AUUGAACGCUGGCGGCAUGCCUUACACAUGCAAGUCGAACGAUUGGCGAACGGGUGCGUAAUACAUCGGAACGUGCCCUGUAGCUGGCGAUAACUAUGCGAAAGCCUAGCUAAUGCCGCAUACUAUAGGUGCUGCCGAUGUCUUAUUAGCUCGUGGGGGGGGUAAAGGCCUACCAAGGCGACGAGCAGUAGCUGGUCUGAGAGGACGAUCAGCCACACUGGGACUGAGACACGGCCCAGACUCCGACGGGAGGCAGCAGUGGGGAAUUUUGGACAAUGGAGGCAACCCUGAUCCAGCCAUGCCGCGUGUGUGAAGAAGGCCUUCGGGUUGUAAAGCACUUUUGUCCGGGAAGCGGUACCGGAAGAAUAAGGACCGGCUAACUACGUGCCAGCAGCCGCGGUAAUUC
rnacentral:rRNA from 1 species